UACGUAGGGACCGAGCGUUGUCCGGAAUCAUUGGGCGUAAAGAGCGUGUAGGCGGCUAUUUAAGUCCUGCGUGAAAUCCUGCGGCUCAACCGCAGACGGUCGUGGGAAACUGGAUGGCUAGAGUGCGGGAGAGGAGAGUGGAAUUCCCGGUGUAGCGGUGAAAUGCGCAGAUAUCGGGAAGAACACCCGUGGCGAAGGCGGCUCUCUGGAACGGUACUGACGCUGAGACGCGAAAGCGUGGGGAGCGAACAGG
rnacentral:rRNA from 1 species